rnacentral:rRNA from 1 species
AGAGUUUGAUCAUGGCUCAGAACGAACGCUGGCGGCAGGCUUAACACAUGCAAGUCGAACGCAUCCUUCGGGGUGAGUGGCAGACGGGUGAGUAACGCGUGGGAACGUGCCCUUCAGUUCGGAAUAACCCAGGGAAACUUGGGCUAAUACCGGAUACGUGCGAGAGCAGAAAGAUUUAUCGCUGAAGGAUCGGCCCGCGUCUGAUUAGCUAGUUGGUAGGGUAAUGGCCUACCAAGGCGACGAUCAGUAGCUGGUCUGAGAGGAUGAUCAGCCACAUUGGGACUGAGACACGGCCCAAACUCCUACGGGAGGCAGCAGUGGGGAAUAUUGGACAAUGGGCGCAAGCCUGAUCCAGCCAUGCCGCGUGAGUGAUGAAGGCCUUAGGGUUGUAAAGCUCUUUCGUCCGGGACGAUAAUGACGGUACCGGAAGAAGAAGCCCCGGCUAACUUCGUGCCAGCAGCCGCGGUAAUACGAAGGGGGCUAGCGUUGUUCGGAAUCACUGGGCGUAAAGGGCGCGUAGGCGGCUUUAUAAGUCGGGGGUGAAAGCCUGUGGCUCAACCACAGAAUUGCCUUCGAUACUGUAUGGCUUGAGACCGGAAGAGGUAAGUGGAACUGCGAGUGUAGAGGUGAAAUUCGUAGAUAUUCGCAAGAACACCAGUGGCGAAGGCGGCUUACUGGUCCGGUUCUGACGCUGAGGCGCGAAAGCGUGGGGAGCAAACAGGAUUAGAUACCCUAGUAGUCC